rnacentral:lncRNA from 1 species
AAUCAUUACAUCAUCUCUCGAAAUUAAAGGUAGAAGAAAGAUGGAAAACAAUUUUGAACCCUUUUGAUGGUUCUUGAUUAAUCUCCUUGAAUAUAUUCUUCUUCUUCUUCUUUAAACCUAAGUGAAGAUGUAUGAAAUACGUGUUUUGUAUCAAAAGAUUACUCAAAGUAUGCGAGAAAUAUCUAUGUUCUAUAUGAAAGGCUUCUUCUUUGUAAGAUAUAUGUUUGUUGUAUCCCAAAAGCCUCUUCUUUUUACAAUAGAUGAAAGGUUGCAUAUAUUGCCCUAAGAAUUAGGCGUAAAUUCUAUCCUAAUUGCUUUCCAAAAUGAGGUUAAAUGAAAUUUGGAAAAAAAAAAUUCCUAGUCUGAUAAUUCCAUGUGAUCGAUGGUAUUAACCAUUUUGAUCGCACAUUGUUUCAUUUUUACUUGUUGGAAUUAAUUUAAGCAACCUUGCGAUCGCAUCCAUGACUGCGUUUGCAAGAUCAAUGUUUGCCUUUCUUUCAAGUUGUUCCCUGAAUCUUCCUCUUGGUUCUGCUCGAGUCAUUCUUUAUUCACCAUGGAUCCUUCAUCUUUAAAUCUUUAUACUUUGAUCAUAAUCAUCAUCCACCCUCUUUUAUAAUUGAUCCGUUAAAAGUAUUGAAAGUUUACAAUAGAUUUCCC